ensembl:lncRNA
CAGCAAUUCAAGCAGAACACAAAGGGUGUGUGGGUGUGUGGGUGUGUAUGUGUGGGUGUUUUUGUUACACAAUAUAUACAAUAAUAACCCAGAAAAACAGCUGGGCAACUACUAAAUACUAUUUAUUACAAGAAGAACCCUGAAGAACACAAAACUGGGGUGUGUGUGUAAAUUAUGCCACGCUGGACAACUACUAAAUGCAAACAAACCUUCUCCUUGUGGACAUGGCAGACAGACACACUGUUGAGUCGUGACUGCUCCAUCGUGGAGCGGAGCCAAUUCUUCAAACGACGCAGGGCACUGAAGCUCCGCUCCGCUUCGCAAGAAGAGACUGGGACCACAAGCAACAGCCUAACAAAAGCCUCCACCUGGGUUGACUGAGUACUGUGAGCGGCCAAUAAUGGGAAAAUGUCCUUGUGACGAGUCCAUCCAGGAACUUGUUUCUGCCAACUCACCUCUUCAUUGCCAUCUACCAGUUCCUGCCUUUCAUUAAGCUCUGAUGCACUUGGUUCCUGUUCCUUAUAAAUAAAUAAAAAUGUGUUCACUCAAUUGAUUAUGCCCUCUAUUUUAUGUGAUUUAUGUGGUGUGCAAACAAAAGUC